CAGGAUUCAACUUAAGUCUUACUGAAGGAGAAGGUCAUGAGGUCGAAUCCUGGGGGACGCGACAGAAAGUCGUGAGGGGUAAGUGGGCGUAAGGCCCACCCAAAGCGGAUACUAGUAAGCUAACAGUUUGGGUACAAAGACUUGGGUCGUUACAAAAAAAUGUCCCCCAGGAUUCGAACUCAUGACCUUCCCCUUCAGUAAGACUUAAGUUGAAUCCUGGUACUUGUCCAAUUCGUACCAGGAUUCCGCUUAAGUCUUACUUAAGGGAAAUGUCAUAAGUUCGAAUCUUGGGGGAUGUGACAAAAAGUCGUGAGGAGUAAAUGGGCGCAAGACCCACUCAAAGCGAAGAGUACGUAAGCUAAUGACUUGGGUAAAUAGACCCGGGUCGUUACAAAAAAAUUAAUGCAAUAGGAAAGUCUUGGAUAAGAUUCGAACCUUGAACCCUUAUUAUAAUCAUUGAAAGCCUGACCACUGUAGCAUCUAUUGCUUUUUGUUAAAUCACUAUUCACGUGAACAGUGUCACAACAUCAAACUAAUAGUGACACUAUUUGGGUAAACGGCGUUCAAGAAGUUUUUUUCCCCCACCAAACAUCAUUCAAAAGAAGAGCUAAACCAGCAAAUAUAGAUAGUGUAAAACAGAGGCAAUAACAAAAUAAAAUUUUAAUUCUAAACUGUCAUCAAUUUUAAAUCCAUCCAAAGGUAUUAUUAUUUAAAAUCAAAUUAAUAAUAAAAACAAACAAACAUUUAAUGUCAAACUUUUAAGAAAAUAAAAUUUAUCACUAUUUUUUUUAAGUCUACAAAAACGUAGACCCGCUCUAAUACCAUUCUGUAACGACCCAAAUUUAAGAUUUAAACCGUUACCAAAAUCAUUUAUUUUAAUAGUGAAGUGCAUGAAAUUAACGAACACGUACUAAUUUAUCGGAGAAUCUCACAACUAAAAAUAAAAUAUAUCCAAAUUAACACAAAAAUCACGUAUAUCAAAUUUAUUAACAAGAAAAUAAAAUGUUGGAAUCAAAAAGUUUUGCCACAUUAACUGCAACGACCCAAAUAUUUUCAGAUUUAAACCGUCACCAAAAUCAUUUAUUUUAAUAGUAAAGUCCAUGAAAUUAACGAACACGUACUAAUUUAUAGGAGAAUCUCACAGCUAAAAAUAAAAUAUAUCCAAAUUAACACAAAAAUCACGUAUAUCACAUUUAUUAACAAGAAAAUAAAAUGUUGGAAUCAAAAAGUUUUGCCACAUUACACUGGAUUUAAUAAUUUAAUUCCAAUUAUCCUGGCAACAACGACUGCACCUCAUCGCCCGCCAACCAAUGAUCCGUUCAAACCUGUAAGGGUAGGGAAAAAUGUGAGUAAAUGGGAAUACUCAGUAGGACAGCGCAAUCCCGAAUAAAAGUAUUUAGAUC
rnacentral:lncRNA from 1 species